rnacentral:rRNA from 1 species
CCUACGGGAGGCAGCAGUGAGGAAUAUUGGUCAAUGGGCGCGAGCCUGAACCAGCCAAGUAGCGUGCAGGAUGACGGCCCUAUGGGUUGUAAACUGCUUUUAUACAGGGAUAAAGUCGAGGACGCGUUCCCCGUUUGCAGGUACUGUAUGAAUAAGGACCGGCUAAUUCCGUGCCAGCAGCCGCGGUAAU